AGUGAACGCUGGCGGUAGGCCUAACACAUGCAAGUCGAACGGCAGCACAGUAAGAGCUUGCUCUUACGGGUGGCGAGUGGCGGACGGGUGAGGAAUACAUCGGAAUCUACUUUUUCGUGGGGGAUAACGUAGGGAAACUUACGCUAAUACCGCAUACGACCUACGGGUGAAAGCAGGGGAUCUUCGGACCUUGCGCGAUUGAAUGAGCCGAUGUCGGGUUAGCUAGUUGGCGGGGUAAAGGCCCACCAAGGCGACGAUCCGUAGCUGGUAUGAGAGGAUGAUCGGCCACACUGGAACUGAGACACGGUCCAGACUCCUACGGGGGGCAGCAGUGGGGAAUAUUGGACAAUGGGCGCAAGCCUGAUCCAGCCAUACCGCGUGGGUGAAGAAGGCCUUCGGGUGGUAAAGCCCUUUUGUUGGGAAAGAAAAGCAGCAGGUUAAGACCCCGCUGUUCUGACGGUACCCAAAGAAUAAGCACCGGCUAACUUCGUG
rnacentral:rRNA from 1 species